rnacentral:rRNA from 1 species
UACGGCGAGUGAGCGGGAAGAGCUCAAAUUUGAAAGCUGGCACCUUCGGUGUCCGCGUUGUAAUCUCGAGAAGUGUUUUCCGUGCUGGACCAUGUACAAGUUCCUUGGAAUAGGACGUCAUAGAGGGUGAAAAUCCCGUACUUGACAUGGACGCCCAGUGCUUUGUGAUACACUCUCCACGAGUCGAGUUGUUUGGGAAUGCAGCUCAAAAUGGGUGGUAAAUUCCAUCUAAAGCUAAAUAUUGGGGAGAGACCGAUAGCGAACAAGUACCGUGAGGGAAAGAUGAAAAGCACUUUGGAAAGAGAGUUAAACAGUACGUGAAAUUGUCGAAAGGGAAGCGCUUGAAGUUAGACAUGCUUGCCGGGAUUCAGCCUUGCUUUUGCUUGGUGCAUUUCCCGGUGUGCAGGCCAGCAUCAGUUUUGUUUGCCGGAUAAGGGUGAGAGGAAUGUGGCCCCUCGGGGUGUUAUAGCCUCUCACUGGAUACGGCGGAUGGGACUGAGGACCGCAGUGUGCCUUUAUGGCGGGCCUUCGGGCACCUUCACACUUAGGAUGCUGGCGUAAUGGCUUUAAGCGACCCGUCUUG